rnacentral:lncRNA from 1 species
AAAUCAUAAAAUAAACUUUUAAUAAUAUAAAUUAUCCAUCAAGCAAAUAGUAUCCACAAAGCGAAUGUUCUACCCCAGAUGCACAAGUUUAAUACAUUUCAAGAGAGUAAUUAGUUUCAAAAAGGUUGAUAACAAAAUAUUCCUAUAGAACAUUCAUCUAUAGCAAUUCAAAUUUCAUCUCAAGUAAGGUGUAGUUCUUCACUUUUAUCAUCUUUUAAGAUUUCUUGAUUUACUCCACCUACAAAAGAGGAUAAAUAAAGUCAUUACCCUUCAAGAGGAUAAACUAAGCCAUAGCUUGAAAGAAAAACAAGUAAAUCACCCCACCAUCAUUGAAAAUAUCAUUACCAAGAGUUAUAUCGUGAAAAACUUUUGGAAAUUAAAAAGUUGGAUUAAGAAUUGUGCCUCCGUAUCAAAAUUAGGAUCUCUUCUUAGAACCUGAUUUUGAAGCCACAUAAUUAGCCAUUUUCAUAAUCUCAACACCAUUCAGAAUGGCAUUCUUCCUCAUAGUAGUACUUAGUUUAGAAAGAUCAAUGCUUACUAACAAAAAUAAAAUUCUUUUUUUUAAGAAAAAACAACAACUAUAGUUGUGUAUUGUAAAUACAAGUUUCCUAAUAGAUUCUCAUUUCUGAUUCUUGCUUUUCUUGUUGAAAAAGAUCUCUUCUUUUUUACUUUGGAAAUUUUCAAGGUUUUUUUUGUUCCUAGGUCCAGGAAUAUCUUGGUUGCAUUUUGUGGGGUUUAAAGUUGGGAUUUUGAAUUCACAUUGUUUAAAUUUAAGGGUGUGGAUAAGAAGAAUCUUGCUGGAUCUUUAAGUUAUUCUGCAAAGUGGAAUAGGUAUUUCUUAGUUUAACUCAAUCUUGAGCUUACUGUACUUGGCCUUUAUGCACCACUUACAAAUCAAGAUCCAACUUUUAUUUUGUGGAAUUUCUUCUUAAGUUGGGACUUCUUUAGUUUUUAAUUUGCUGCUUGUUUGGAUCAAUGCUAGUGUCUUAAAGUUAAUUAUUGAAUAUGAAAUCUGUAGUUACAUUCUCCCUAUUAAUCUGUUGUGCUGUCAUGUUCACAUUAUCAGUAAUUAUAUAAGCAGUCAAUCAGUAUCUACUUUGAAUGCUAGGAAAAUUGAUUACUCCUGGUACGACGAAGAAAUGCUUGGUUAAAAAGACAGGUCAGUGUAAAAACUAGAAUAGUUCAUUCUACUCUAGGUCCAACUAGCCUCACAGAUGAACACAAUCUGCGGCAGAGAAUACUCUAUGCCUGAGACAAACAGAAUAAGGCACAAAAACCGACAGGCUAACAGAAUACUCUAUGCUUGAGACAAACAGAAUAAGGUACAAAAACCAACAGGCCAACAUUAUAUUCUAUGCUUGAGAAAAACAUAAUAAUGUCAAAUCCAACAAGACAAUUGGAUCAACAUAAUAAUGUAAAAAGAACUAUUUAGGCUUUGCGCGAGAGAGAAGUGGUAGAAGAAGAAUUACAAGGAAAGAGGAGAAGAAGAAAUAGAAGAAGAUGUAUAAUAUUUACUCUCUCUGUUUCAUAUUAAAUCAGAUUCUUUUCUUUUUAAUUUGUUCUUAAAUAAAUGUUACAUUUCUAAAUUUAGAAAUAAUUUAAUUUUAAACUCCUCAUUUUACCCAUUUUACCCUUAAUGAGAAACUUUUACAACCAACAAAAAGUCAUGGCCCGCAAAGCUUUACCUCUUAAGUUUUUAAGACCACAAAAUUCAAAAACUUCCUUUUUUUCUUAAACUCCGUGUCGAGUCAAACUAGCUCGUUUAAUAUAAUGAUCUUGAUUGUUACCACCGGCAGAUGGUUGAUUGUAACUGUUAACAUAUGUAUAAUAUCAGUUGUAGUAACUAUUAAACAUAUGCCUUUCAUUACUUUUUCAUGCUUUCUUAAACUAAAUCAUUUUGAUCAUUUUACCAGCCAUUUUAUCUAUUUUGUAUUGGUACUUACUAUCCAAUUAGUAUACAGCUGUAAAUUUUCAAGUAGUCUUAAUGCUACCUAAUAGCAAGUUAUGAAAGGAGUGACUUUGAAGAAAUUGCUUGUAAUUAAAAGAUGUAGAAGUUUAUGAAGACAUGCCAGGUCAAUGGUAAACUAUAAAGUUUAGUGCAUAUGUGUGUCACCUUCAGAUUUACUCAGAAGGUCGUGUUUUAGUUAACAAUCGCCUAAGCCACAUUAUAGUCGCAUUAUGUCGAACAUUUAAAAAAUUCAAGUUUUAAUUAGUUAAACAUCAAAACACAACUAAAGUAUCAUCUUUUUUAAAAAAGUCUAUUAUCUUAAAACCUUUUCACACGCAAUAAAAGAAACUGCAGUAGUUUCAUAGAUACUGUCAAGUGCCAACCAUUAAUUAAAUGGUAUCGUUGGAUCAUUGACAUGAAUUCUAGUAUAUUCAUUUGGAUGUGAAAUUAAAGAAACAAGUAUAACUGAAAGGGUAUUUGAAGGCAGAGAUCUUUUUGUAUAUUUUACUUUACAACUUAUAACAGACACGUUAUGUGGUGGUUCAAAGGCAAGCUAGAUCAGUGUGUUAGGAUGAAGUUGGACAAAGUUUGCAAGAGGAAAUUUUUAGCAGAUAACCAAACAAAACAUAGACAAAAAUCUACCAAAACAUAAUAAAACAUCACCAGUCAAAGAGAGAAUUCGAUUGGAUCAGAAACCAUUCCUCCAAAUAUUUCAAUCUCCUUAACAUGAAUAAUUCUCCACUUAAACUAAUGGUCAAUCCGAUGUUUUCACCAUUAAGAGCCAAAAACAGGAUCAUAAUUUUCUCUCUGUUACUAAUUUAAUCAACACUUAAAAAAGUACAAACACUUAAAAAAUUCAACCUAGCAAGAGCUAUUUGGUCAACAAAAUAGCAUCAUAACCAAACAAGAAAAAGUAAGUCAAAAAUUAAUCCUCCAGCAAUAGAAUACAACUCAAGAAACCAAGACAGCAAAAAAAAAAAGAAAAAAAGUAACCACCAAAGCUAAUCAACUGUAAUAUGAAAACCAACAAUCCAUACAACAGCAAAGGAACUGAAAUCAUAAAGUUAGCUUCAAUUACCAGAUCAAAAGCAGACAAAGAACCUGCUUCAGCUUCGGGCCACGUUUGGAUAAAAUUCCAAAAUAUUUAACAUCUUCAUAUGGUAAAAUUAGCUAGUCUGAAAGUUGGACUUCAAUUGAGCUGACCAGUUGUAACAUUUCAUACAAUAGAUACCCAACUGAUACCUAAUAAAACAUGCAUGACAUAUUAGUCAUAUAUACAAUAAAAUAUAGUAAGUAGAUUUUUAUAGUACCUCUACAAGAUUUGGAAACAUCAUGACUGAUUAAAUGUAGAAUCCGCGAGAUUUUUUUUUUGUGUUUCUUUUCAACCAUAUACAGGUUCAAAUAUACAGGUACGUACACAUGAAUACAGAGGAAGCAAUUACAAAGGAAGGCAAGCAUACACUGUCCACAUAAUCAUAGUUGAGGAGGUACUUUCAAAGGAAGCUAGAGAGGAUAUGAAAGACAGUAGCACAAGAAGCUUUGCAUAUACAGAUAGUAGGACAUACAAAGAACAGGAGAUGACUGGAAAUACACAGGUUCUAUCAUGGAUAACAAUCCAAGUAUGGGCGACAAAAUCCAACUUCCACAUAGAAUUAUGGGAGAAGAUAGUGUGCAUAACAGUUGAUAAUACCAUACAAAGAACACAAGAAGGCAGCAACACUCAUGGACUAUCAAUGUGGAACAAUGGUCAUCGACUUGGAGCACUGGUACUCUAUGUGAAAACUGGUCGACUAUUCAGUAGCUUAUAUAGAAUACAAGUUAAGGACACCGAUGCAGCAGUAAUUUACAAAUAUGUAGGACACACAUACAUAGCACACCAUCAAAGAAAGGAGAAAUAAUGCUCAAAGGAGCAAUUUUUAGUAGGCUAGUUUUUAUACUCUUUUCAAAUACUAGAGCUAAUUAUGAUAUCAAUGAUGGGCUUAUACGAAAUGGGUGAAAGUAUACAAGAAGCCAUAGUAAUUGUGAUAUCUUUUACAGAGAAUCAUAUCUUUUUGUAGGAUCUCUUCCUUUUGAUCACUAAAGCAACUUUCUAGCUAGCAAAAAGAACAACUAACUUUAACAUGCAAACUGAAAAGAUAGCAAAAAUAACAUCACUUAAUGCUUUUACACAAUAAAUGGAAACAAAAUUCAUAGGCAAGAGAAAUAUAUACAACAAGCACAACCUACUUCAAACAUGACAUAUGUGAAAGUUAACAUAAACUAAAUCAGUAUGUUUUGGGUUCUAAUGCAUACCCCGAAUUUGGAGAUAGGAAUCCCUUGUUUAACGCAUAGUAAAUGUGCUUGCCUUCUAGCUAACCACUGCAGUAAGAAAUUGAAAAAUUACGCAAAGAAGUAACACUGACGCCAAUGGAAUACUAGAAUAGUUGUCAAUUUGACAUUCAUCAUAUUACAUAAAUCUAUUAGUUCAAAUGGGCUCAUACUACUUAUGAGGUACUCAUCAGUCAUCAAAAGCAAUUGGAAAAGUUCAAAUAUAGGCUCAUACUUCUGACAUUUUCAAAUAUUGUAGCUAAUUAAAGACAACAUGGGAACUUGAAUGUAACUUCCAAAAAAAGGUUGGCCAGAAGUAUAGUUGCAAAAGUAACACAUCCGAACAAUGUACAGUGAAGGAAGAAUAUUAAUGCAAUAAAUGGUUAAGGAAAAUCAACAUGCAAGUCAAGAUAGAGCAAAAGUAAGGACAUAAAAAGAUUUAAGAACUUUAUUCAAAAAAAGUACUUUCUUUGCUUGUAUGAGAGUUUUCAGUAGCUUGGAAAACAUAACAACAGAAAAAUGCCAGCAAGGACUAGAAAUACAAAAAGGCUCCAAAACAAACAUAGGAAAAUUUCACAAAAAAUCUCUAAUUCAACUGAAAAAACCAUAAGAAAACCCUAAAAUAAGACCAGAUUUCUCGAUUAAGAACCAGAAAGUGAAAUGAGCGCAAAAAAGAAUUUAUUGCAUUAGUAUUUGGUUCUUCAAAUGGUUUCUCCGAUCUUUGUUAGUAACCUUUGCACAACAAGUUGACAUAAGCCCUUCAAAGGAUACAAACCCUUUGCACAAAAUCUUAGUUUCUCAAAUUCAUUCUGCACUUAAUCAAACUAAACCUCAUAAAACUCUAAAUCAAAAGAAGACUGAGGGUUUAGAUUCUUACAGAAGAAGAAGGUUUACCAGCGAAGAAAAAGGCUGUGGCAUUGGGAAUAUCGCGGCGUUGGGUAUACACAGAACUAUAACACAAAUAUUUU